rnacentral:misc_RNA from 1 species
UCUCCGUUGGUGAACCAGCGGAGGGAUCAUUACAGAGUUUUUAACUCCCAAACCCAUGUGAACCUACUAUUUUGUUGCCUCGGCGGGUGCUCCGGCUCGCUCCGGAGCGCUACGCCCGCCGGCGGCACACAACUCUUGUCUCUUGCGUUGGCAUCUCCGAGCAAACAAAAACGAGUCAAAACUUUUAACAACGGAUCUCUUGGUUCUGGCAUCGAUGAAGAACGCAGC